GGUAUGGGAUGAGCUUGCGUCCGAUUAGCUAGUUGGCGGGGCAACGGCCCACCAAGGCGACGAUCGGUAGCCGACCUGAGAGGGUGAUCGGCCACAUUGGGACUGAGAUACGGCCCAGACUCCUACGGGAGGCAGCAGUAGGGAAUAUUGCACAAUGGGGGAAACCCUGAUGCAGCAACGCCACGUGUGGGAAGAAGCAUUUCGGUGUGUAAACCACUGUCGUGAGGGAAUAAGGCUAUUUUUCGGAGUAGUUGAAUGUACCUCGAGAGGAAGCACCGGCAAACUUCGUGCCAGCAGCCGCGGUAAUACGAGGGGUGCAAGCGUUGUUCGGAAUCACUGGGCGUAAAGGGAGCGCAGGCGGAAGCUCAAGCGGAUUGUACAAUACCGGGGCCCAACCCCGGACCUGCAGUCCGAACUGGGUUUUUUGGAUAGUUCAGGGGCAGGC
rnacentral:rRNA from 1 species